UACGUAGGGGGCAAGCGUUAUCCGGAUUUACUGGGUGUAAAGGGAGCGCAGGCGGCGGGGCAAGUCAGAUGUGAAAACCCGGGGCUCAACCCCGGGACUGCAUUUGAAACUGUCCGGCUAGAGUGCAGGAGAGGCAGGCGGAAUUCCUAGUGUAGCGGUGAAAUGCGUAGAUAUUAGGAGGAACACCAGUGGCGAAGGCGGCUUACUGGACUGUAACUGACGUUGAGGCUCGAAAGCGUGGGGAGCAAAC
rnacentral:rRNA from 1 species